rnacentral:rRNA from 1 species
AUUGAACGCUGGCGGCAGGCCUAACACAUGCAAGUCGAACGGUAACAGGAAGCAGCUUGCUGCUUUGCUGACGAGUGGCGGACGGGUGAGUAAUGUCUGGGAAACUGCCUGAUGGAGGGGGAUAGCUACUGGAAACGGUAGCUAAUACCGCAUAACGUCGCAAGACCAAAGAGGGGGACCUUAGGGCCUCUUGCCAUCGGAUGUGCCCAGAUGGGAUUAGCUAGUAGGUGGGGUAACGGCUCACCUAGGCGACGAUCCCUAGCUGGUCUGAGAGGAUGACCAGCCACACUGGAACUGAGACACGGUCCAGACUCCUACGGGAGGCAGCAGUGGGGAAUAUUGCACAAUGGGCGCAAGCCUGAUGCAGCCAUGCCGCGUGUAUGAAGAAGGCCUUCGGGUUGUAAAGUACUUUCAGCGGGGAGGAAGGGAGUAAAGUUAAUACCUUUGCUCAUUGACGUUACCCGCAGAAGAAGCACCGGCUAACUCCGUG